AACGAACGCUGGCGGCGCGCCUAAUACAUGCAAGUCGAGCGAGAAGGUGUAGCAAUACACUUGUAAAGCGGCGAACGGGUGAGGAAUACAUGGGUAACCUACCCUCGAGUGGGGAAUAACUAGCCGAAAGGUUAGCUAAUACCGCAUACGAUUCCGGGACUUCGGUUCCGGAAGGAAAGCGAUACCGUGGGUAUCGCGCUCCUGGAUGGGCUCAUGUCCUAUCAGCUUGUUGGUGAGGUAACGGCUCACCAAGGCUUCGACGGGUAGCUGGUCUGAGAGGACGAUCAGCCAAACUGGCGCUGCGACACGGGCCAGACUCCUACGGGAGGCAGCAGUAAGGAAUAUUGCGCAAUGGGCGAAAGCCUGACGCAGCGACGCCGCGUGGGGGAUGAAGGUCUUCGGAUUGUAAACCCCUUUCGGGAGGGAAGAUGGGAUGGGUAACCAUCCGGACGGUACCUCCAGAAGCAGCCACGGCUAACUUCGUGCCAGCAGCCGCCGUAACAC
rnacentral:rRNA from 1 species